AUUCUGGAGAUUAAAUUCUAGUUGGUCUCAGGUACCUGGAGUCAGAGUUGUGGCCAGUCACUCUGAAGAGUCAGCUCCACAGAGGAGGUCUGUGAUCAUAACACCAGGACCCUGGGAACCCAGUUUGUAUUACCCUAGGAUACAGGAGCCCCCUCCCCAAUCCAGGGGCCCUGUCCCCGAGAAGCCAUGGUCUGGCUCUGACUGGGAGUCGGGCUGCUGAGCGUUGUGCAGGAUGAGAUGCAACAGUGCCAGGGGCCCUGGUCUGAAGCAGCCUGGGACGGACUGCCGAGGCAUAGUGCAUCCCCUCCGCAUACCCAGCCUCUCCCUGUCCUCUCCACACUCUGAGGGGAUCCCUAGAGGACAGGGCGGGAGCCUCUCAGGCUGACCAGAGACUCCUGGGAGGUCUGGGCCCGUGGGAGGGCUUACAGAAGGCUCUCUGACCCUGUCUCUCUGGCACCCACAGGUUUUGACACGAUCAUCUGACUGGACAAGGACCUGCACUCACAAGGUCAGGUCUGGGCCUUUGUGGCUCCACCUCAGGGCCCGACCCACAGCGCCCCAAGGACCCAGAAAUGUCUAAUAGGUUCUGCCACACACAUGGGUCUGCUUGCUUCUAUUUCUAGAGAGAAAAGAAAGUUCAAAAUACAUACUUAGGUAGAGACACAGCAAGCCCGUUGGGCUGCCGCUGGCUCUGCCCCUCGGGGCGGCGGGGACCACUUAGAAGACAAGGAGCUGCCUCACCCCACGGCAAGGGCCAUGUGUGGCCCUGGAGCCAAACUGGAGCUAAGAGCAAGCCCAGCCCCACCUCAGUCCGGGGCUGCCCACAGGACAGGCCUGACACGGGGAGGAGAUAUGGUGGGCUUCAGUCAGAGUCACAGGCCUCUUGCUCGGUGGUAGCGUCCACUGCAGAGGCCAGGCUGUCCUCCUGGCCUUUCAGCCUCUCACCUGGGUGGGUGGCAGACAGAAGGAGUGGGGAGGGGCCCUUGUUUGGGCCACCUGCUCCCCACCCAGGGCAGGGAUCCUGCCUUGCCAGGCCCCGCACUUACGGAUCAGUUCAGCGAUGGCCCUCUGGGUCCGCUUCUCUAGCUUCUCCAGCUUCUUGGCUACGUCUCUCUUGAGGUCCCUGGAGCAGGCAGGUGCAAGGAAGCCAGAAGGUGAAGGUUGGCUGGGUGUGGCCUUGGGAUCCUCCCCUCCCUGAGCCCCUCUGCCAUUAGGAACCACAUUCAGGGGCCUCAGGAGACCACCCCGGGGAGGAGGCCAGGGUGUUCCUCUCUCCCUUCCUGCAUCCUACAAGACCCAGCAUCAGCCCGCCUGCCCCGACUGGUGCCACAGACCCACCAAACACAGGCCUGGGUCAAGGUGUGGCAGAGGGCUGCUCUCUUGGUCUGGUCCCCUCAGGCACCAUCAGGGAGUGACUUUCCCUGGCUCACGGUGGGUUCUGCUCCUCCUCCAGCCACAUGCUCACCCUCACCACCAGGAGCUUCCAGAAGGCCUACUCUCCCGACUCAGGGAUUCCUAGGACACAUGCCCCAGGCUUUUGUUUCCACAAAUGAGAACACCUUUGGCGGUGCUGUACUUGCCACAGGAUCGCAGCAUGGCUUUGUGAAGAACCAAGAGGACUGGCUUUCCCCUAAUCUACAGGGGUUCCUAGGCUUGGAGGAUGUCCCCUGGAUCCUGGACUGGCUUUUCUUCCCAUCCCACUCAGUGUGGAGCAUCUCCAGAAGCUCCUGGCUGCUGUGCUGUUCCCCACACCACGGGAGAUGGGCAGCCCCAGGCCCAGGCCCCCGCCCCACCGGCAGGAACACCUCUCCGACCCUCUGUGCCUGGGCCGGCAGCGUGCACCUGAAUGGUCGGCCUUCUUCAGGGUCUCGCUGUGACCUCCAAGUGCCCACAGCACCAUCUCCACCCUCCCACCCUCCCCCUUGUCCCCCGCUGUCCCAAGGCCCCGGGGCCACUUCCACUUCUCAGUCCAGAGAGGUCCUCCCAGGGGAUGUGGCUUCUUUGCUUGCAGAUCCCUGGAAGACCCUCGGGUGCCCUGACCACCUCUCUGCCAUCACUCAACCCUGAUUACUUCUGCAUGGUCGUGAGGCGGUGCUAGAGGGUCCCAAGGGCCCAGCUUCCAGCCCUGGCACUGCCAGAUAUUCUCUGAGAGAGGGCGACACUUGCCAAGGUGGAGGCAUCUGAUGGUGCCUCAGAGCAGAGGUGGAGAAAAGCAGUCCACCUACCCGCAACUGGUUUGGCCUGUGGCACCCUCCUCCUCUUCAGGUCCUCAUCCUCUGGGACAUAGUUCCGCAGCCUGAGUUCCCUAUGAAAGCAAAUAACAAGCAGAGAUGGAGUGGAGUGUAUGGCCAUCGUGUUCACCCCAUACAUCUGCAGGUCAGACUGCAAUGAAGCCACAUAAGCUAGUGUGUGCCUUCUCGACUUUCCUCCAUUCUCUCUGGAGACAGCCUGGCGAAGAGGGAAAGCACAGGAACAGAAGGACCACCGGGACAGGCCCCCCACUCCAAGCCUCAGCCCCACGCAGGCUGCUCUGCCAAGGUUUGCUUGCACUGAGGGCUCUCACCCAGAGCUGGGACCAGGGGGGCCUGGGGAGCACUCACUGGCUGUCUCUCCUGGAGGAGCUCCAUCUGACAGUGAGGGUAACUGAGGGUCAGAGAGACCGCACCCCUGUCCUCAGGUCCCAUGGCAGUGGCUGCAGCACCUGACCUGGAGUCAGGGUCAGAGCUCCUGGGCUGAGUUUCUCCCCACGGAGACACCGGUGGUCACAUGUUGGUUCUCUAGGUCUGGCCUCUUUCUCAGAGCCUUGGUGGCCUGGAGCCACCGGUACAGACCUCAACUCUUGGUGGUAAGGGUGUGCAUGAGCAGCUGGCAAGAGAGAAGCAUGGGGACAACACUGUGCAAGGCUGGAAAAGCCAGGUCACGGGGACAGCCAGGAGAACGGCCCAGCCUCACGGUGGCAAGAGGUCUUUAAAAUGCCACUGGCGGGAUCCCUGGGUGGCGCAGCGGUUUGGCGCCUGCCUUUGGCCCAGGGCGCGAUCCUGGAGACCCUGGAUCGAAUCCCACAUCAGGCUCCCGGUGCAUGGAGCCUGCUUCUCCCUCUGCCUGUG